GUUCUGAUUAUCAUAUUUCAGCCUCGCCGCUGCGCUGCGCCACUGGCCGCUCGGCGAGCCCGCGGGAGAGGAUUAGGGCUCCCGAGGCCGCUGGCUCCGUGCUCAGGCUGUUGCUCCCCGAAGCUCGGGCUGCCCGGAGGCUCUGGCUUUUGGCCUCCCUCUCCUCCACCUCCUUCCCCUCCCUGCUCCUUCCCGGCCGCGCCGCCUCUCGCGCUGCUCCUCCGCCGUGCGCUCCAGGGGUCCCCGCAGUCCGCCGGCUGCGUUGAGCGCGGGGCUCACUUUUCUUUCGCCGGUGGCGAGUGGCUGGAAGGGGUAUAUUACAGAAGAACAGCGAAAUACCUAUUUCUCUUCACCGAGUGUGGAUAUUUCCUCUCGGGGAAACAACCUGGGGAGAGAAGAUUGCUGUGUGCAUCUAGCCGUAUUCAAACGAUGAAAUCGUCCACGAAUGUUUCCAUUUAAUGUGGUUCAAAACGGUGUAAUGUAGGCAUGAAAGUGCAACUUCUUUCCUCUCUACAACUCCUGGAAAGAUGCCAUAGAACAUGCAGUUUAUGUGGAGUCCUCACUUGAGGGAUCAAACUCAGGUCCUUGCGCUUGCGCAGCAGGUGGAGAAACCACCGAGCUAAAUCCCGGGCUCGUGGAGAUGUCUUUAAAGAAAUUAAAACAAAAUCCAUGGGAAAAUAAGUUAAAAUUUUAAACAAAUAUCCUCCUAUCUCAUG
rnacentral:lncRNA from 1 species